UUUGGAUAGCACCCCCCUCCCUGGGCCAGCUGAUACGGCUGUAAGCUCCGGCGGACAGGGCUGGAAAGAGCAUUUGAAAAAACAGAGUUUUUCACCUGAUCCGAGGGAGCGCCCCGAGGGGUGGUUCCAGCAGUUGCCUGACCAUAUGAAGCAGAAGGGUUUGUGAAGUGCAUUGCAGUUUGAGGAUGUGGAUACUGGGAUUGUAGUCUUGGCGACAUUGAUGCAUCCUCUCCAUAAUCAAUCUCAUUCUGAAUAUGAGUUACUAUGUCAGCUGCUGUCACCCUAGACCCUUCCUCAUGCUGUCUCAGGAUCCACUGGUAAAGCUUCUCCAGUGCAUGGCGCUCGCCGGCCUGGAAGGAGAGCUUCUGCUGAUUCAUCGCCUGGGUGUAGAGCUGCGACAGCGAGUUGGCGCCGGUGCAGAAGGUGGAGUACAUGGUCCGAUCCACCUCAUCAAGCCCCGUCGCCUCCGAUUUGCGCUUCCUCGCCAUCGGAUCGAGAAACCCUAGAGAUGGAGGAGAGGAAUCCCAAAUCGAAUUGGAGACGAAGACAAAGGGGGAAACAGAGAAAGGAA
rnacentral:misc_RNA from 1 species